UCUGAGGGUUUUAUAACUUCUCUUGGCUGUGUAUGUAAUUUUCUAAUCAGAGUUUGUUGGGUUCUUUUUCAGGAGUCCAUAGUCUCUUGUUUCCUCUUCUAUCUUCCUGUAGCACUGCAAUCUUUCUGGUGUUGCAGCAGCAAGCCACCUACUCUCCUUUAAUAUCAAUGGCCUCUUGGUAUCCAAAGUAUGCCAAUUCAAGCACCCUAAGUCAAGAGAGACAGAAACCGAUCCUUUGGAUAGGCUUUCCCCAAUCCCUAAACUGAACUGCUGCAUAUACUUGCUGUGUUCUUUUCUCUUCUACCUAAGGAAUAAGUUGGAAUUGGUUGCCUUCUUCCCAUAACAGUGAGCCAUGUCAGCUUCUGUACUAUUUCAGACUCUCCAGUGUCACUGCAAGCUGCCACUCCUCUCACUUGCUUUCAGUGGCCCCUAGGCAUGCAAACUAUGCUGGUUUCAUCAGCACUCCAAGUCAGAUGAAACAAAUCAGUUCCUUGGGCAGCCUUCAAACAACUAAAACAUUGGAUGCUUAUUCUACUCUGAUGAUCAUAGUGAGCUAUGCUGACUAAGAAGGUGCAGAGAUCAUAGUAAUAAGAACCACUUCAACAGGCAUAUGGAGUGAAGGAAAACUGGUACGAAAGGCAGUUUGGGGAACAGCACUCCAGAGCCAGACUGCCUGGAUUUGAAUCUUGGCUCUACCAUUAUUAGCUGUGUAACAUCGGAUAUGUAUUUCAAGAAGAAAUUAAUUCUCUACAAAAUCAAGUUUAAGAGAAAAAAAUCUAAAACAGCUGUAACUUGCAAAGGAAAAAAUUAAAGAAGAUGGUUGUAAAACUCUUUAUUCAAUUCAUUCAACCUUGUGAAGCCAGUGGUUUGAUCAAGCUAUUCCUUCUAAAGUCAAAAGAUGUUGUUAUCCUGUCUGUGGUUCUGCAUAUACUACCUGGUACUUUAGAUAGUGCCAUGACAUUUUUGAGAUAUUUCUGCAAUCAGAAUGAAGUUAACAAUACUAAAUAUGUGUAGAAAUAUAUUUUGUCUGGAAAAAAUUAGAAUCUUAAAAUUCACAGGAUAUUACUUUUAUUUAUAGCCGUAUUUUGAGGCACAAAUACUCUUUUCUCUUAGUUACUCAACAGUGCCCCCCUGCUUUGGAAAGUAGAUUUAAAGUAUAUUCAAAAUCUGUUAAUAUUUCAAUGAAUCUGUUUCACAAAAACAGAAACAGAUAUGAUAUGGUUUUACACAGUAAGAAUAAGAAAUUAGGCCCUUAAAAAGGCAAAAAACAUAGUUCAAAUGUCAUAUAAAAUAGUUUGUCAAAAGAACAUGAAUCUCAUUAGUGAUUAUAAAAUUAAUCUUCCAGACUACAAGAACCUUAUACAAAUACGAGUAUCACUUAAGAAAACUAUUUUCCCAAGUGACCUAAUCAGUUUUCUAAAAAGGAAUGAGUCUUCCCUUUUACAUAAAAACAGGGGAAUCAUAUUAACUUUUCAUUUAAUAGCCAAUUUGGGAUGCUGUAUCUAUAGUUAAUGGGACAAGACUGUCAUUAAUUCAUUGUGCAUCUUCAGCUACCAGAGAGACCUAUACAGGCCUCUAAACCAGAAUCUUUGUCUUUAGCCAAUAUUUAAUGACAAAUUACCUGGCUCAAAGGAAUUUUUAUGGAAUUAAAGUGGUGGUAACAAUCAAGUUGGCUAUUUAGACUUUAACCAUUUCAACAUGAUACAGUGACUACCCUCUCCCUCCAAAGUUACUCAGAAAACAGUACAGUAUAAAAACAUAGAAAAUUCCUUCCGAAACUGCUAACUUUCCCCCUUUGGUACCCUUAUCCCUUUCAGCCAAGUGCAAAGUGCAAGGCAAAAUAAAUUAAGGCAAAAGGAAAAUAAAAUAAGAAAAAUGGUGAGGGCGAGCAUGUUGUUGACCAUGUAAGAUAACACGUGCAAAUUAUACCUCAGAUACACUAUAGGUAGAUGAGCACGAGGGAAGCCGAGCCUGGUUUUGCAGUGGGGAAAAGAAAACACUGUUAAAGAGGAAAUGAUAGCAUAGUAAGGGUCUCAGAAGAUUAGAUUGCUCCAUCACCAACACAUUUGCCAGAUAACAAGACAGCCUUAUAAGCAGACACCUGAGUUUGGAAAUCUCAAGGUUCAAGAUAUUGGAGAACCUUGUGAUUAAAAAAGAAUACCGAGCUAAAAAAAAAAAAAAAAAAAA